GAGGCGUGUGUAACGUGUUUGGAACAUACGCACAUAUUAUUAUUUAUUAUAUCAUACGGUUAGAUUAAUAUGGUUUUGAGAUUUUAUAUUGAUAAUAAUAUAAUAAUAAUAAUAAUAAUAAUAAUAAUAAUAAUAAUAUAAGUAAACGUUUCGAUUAAAUGUAAUAAUGUUAAAGAAUUACUAUAAAAAUAAAAAAAUAAAAAAAAAAAAACAAAAAUAAAAACCAUUAAUUAUAGAUACCCCGGGCCACAUUUUCGUUUUACACAAUAAUAAAAUCAUAUUUUGUUAUCUGCGUAGGAAAUAAAAACAAAAACAAAAAAGACCCGAACAAAAGUCUGGGACUUUUAAAAUCGGGAGGAGUUCAGCGUUAAUAAUUAUAAUAAUAACUAAUAAUCAAUAAUCAAUAAUAAAUAAUAGGUAUUAACUAGAAAUAAUUAACGUAAAACGAAACAAAAAAAAAUCGAAAUAUUAUACUACGUACUCGACAGUCGACAUAAAUGUUUGCGAACAAUUCGACUCACUCGACUAACGAUAUUUCUAUACGACGAAUUAUACGGAAAAUCAUAAGAGGGAAUAAGGGAAGAAAAACAAGGGGAAAAAAAUCGUCAUUAAAUAACAUAACGUGUGCCUAUAUACACGUGGUUGUUUCGCAAUAUAAUGUGGGUACAAAUUUACGCGAGCAAACGAGUUGUAUAUAGUCGAAGAACAAACACGAGGUAACUAGACGGGGUUGGUGGUGGGGCAUGAGAAGCGAUAUAAAUCAUACAUAAAUAUAUAUUAUGUAUUUAUUACGCUUUAGUUUAAUACAUUAUUACUAAAAUUGAAUAAAUAAAAAUAAUAAACGGGUGGGUAUAUUUAUUGUCAGUCUUGUUGAACGAACAAAUAUAAAAAAAAAAAAAAAAAAAAAAAAAAAAACAAAACAAAAUCGGGAAAACAAUAAGUUUUUAUUGUUUUAUACAAAACACGAGAGAAACGUAACACGGUCGAAAAUUGUAAUAAUAACUAAAAAAAAAA